UUUGUUGUAUGGAAAGGUCUAAGUUGUGAAUUUGAGCGGACAAUACUAACUUGCAUGUUUCUAAGGGUGCAGGAGAGAAUGAGGAUCCAUUAUGCAAGUUUUUAAGGUCAUUUGAAGUUCUUCAUUUGAAUCCUCCCAUAUGAAAUAUGAGCAACGCAAAAUGCCAACUGAUUCUGAAACCUGCAUUGUGGAUCAUGCUGAUGUCUUCUUGAUGUCUCUUUUGUCCUCCUGGACCUGGAACCAGACUUAACAAAUACAUGACGAGGUUCAGAGCAAGGUCAAGGAGCAAGGUUUUUCAGUCACACUAGCUGCAAACCUUCUUUCACCCACACCCUGGAGGUGGUGGGUACCUAGAAGGUGGCAGGUGAUUUUCUCUCGUGGUCUAUGUUUGCAGGUUUUCUACUUCAAUCUAACUUUCAGCUGGUUCUUCAUUGCCAAGUAGAACAAGACACUGGGUUGUGAAUCUCGGAGCGAGUCAAAUGACAAAAAGCUGGAGUGCAGCAGCAGGCAUGUUCUAAUGAUUUAGAGAAAUCUGAUCUCUUUUUCUCUGGGAUAUUUUGUAUCAAAUUGAGAAUGCCACAAUGACUAGCUGAGAAGAGAGAAGAGCCACAAACUAUGUUUAUUCCU